UCCGGAAUUCACUGGGAUUAAGGGGCUGU
rnacentral:piRNA from 1 species